AAUCAUCUCCUAGUUGUAGUCAUCUGUUAUGGGAGCUUGGCUCAGAGAAAAAUAUUUGAAGAAAUGGAUUGUGGGGAUUCAUCUGGCUAUGAAGAAAUUUUUGGAAGAUAUGGAUCCAUUUAACAGAUCGACUAGAAAAUAUUCCUGAGACUAGAGAAACAUCUUAUGUAUUCUAUGAAGAUAUCUUUGAUGCCAAAAAUGCUUGUGGUCAUGUUAGGAUUCAGCGUGUACAACAGAUACUUCGUGGACUUGUACUGCAAUGCA